GACACAGUGGCCAAAUGGUUAGCGCAUUGGACUCUGGAUUGCGCGGUCUGGGUUCGAGCCCUGGCCGGUGUCA